rnacentral:ribozyme from 1 species
GAAAAAAAACAAAAGAAAAAAGAAAAAAAGAAAAAGCUUUCCUUUUCUAAUUGUUUGAUGCUUUUCUUGUGUAUCUAUCUGAUGAUUGUGUUUGUU